CAAUAGCGUAUAUUAAAGUUGUUGCGGUAAAAAAGCUCGUAGUUGGAUUUCUGUUGAGAGCGACCGGUCCAUACCAUGUAUGCGUAUCUGGCUUGCUCUCGGCAUCCUCUCGAUAGACGUUACUGCGCUUGAUUGCGUGGUGCGGAUCUCGGGACUUUUACUUUGAGGAAAUUAGAGUGUUCACGGCAGGCUUUCGCCAGAAUACAUUAGCAUGGAAUAAUACUAUAGGAUCUUGGUUCUAUUUUGUUGGUUUCUAGAAUUGAGAUAAUGAUUAAUAGGGACAAUUGGGGGUAUUCGUAUCAACACGUCAGAGGUGGAAUUCUUGGAUUGUGUUGCGACGAACUACUGCGAAAGCAUUUGCCAAGGAUGUUUUCAUUGA
rnacentral:rRNA from 1 species